AGGUAUGUACCUUCCAAGAUGGAUGGUUUCGCCUAGGAGGGAGGAGCAGAGCAGGGUGAGGAGCAGGCUCAAUGGGUUCCACAUGGCGAGGAAGACGGGCCCUUUCAUGCCCACGCACCAUGUCUGUAGCUGAUUGAUGGAGCGACUGAAUACAAGAGAUGAUGACGUACGGAGUAUGCAACCGCGACCAAGGAGAGAUCGAGGCCAAGCUUCCAUCUGGAGAAUCCAUGGCUCCUCUCCAUGGCCACUGCGACGACGAACGACUGGAUUGUGCCAAAGAGGCACUGUAUCAGGACUACAAGCAGCUUGUUCGGGUACUCCUUGAGCAACAGCCCCUCACUGAGGAAAGAAGCAGCAUAAGAAGAGGAGGAGGAAUUGAUUGACCUGGAAGAUGAACCAGAGAGACCAGGAUACGCAGGCGAGGAGCAUUAGAAAUGUCCCCGUAACCCACAGG